UACGGGGGGGGCAAGCGUUGUUCGGAAUUACUGGGCGUAAAGGGCUGGUAGGCGGCCAACUAAGUCGGAUGUGAAAUCCCCAGGCUUAACCUGGGAACUGCAUCCGAUACUGGUCGGCUUGAAUCCGGGAGAGGGAUGCAGAAUUCCAGGUGUAGCGGUGAAAUGCGUAGAGAUCGUAAGGAAGACCAGUGGCGAAGGCGGGUCUCUGGACAGUUCCUGACACUGAGGCACGAAGGCCAGGGGAGCAAACGGG
rnacentral:rRNA from 1 species